GACAGAACCUCGGGGGGCCAUCCGGCUGAGACGCGAAAGCGGACCCGUUGAACCUGAUCCGGCUAACACCGGCGGAGGGAAGGUGACGCUGUCCUUU
rnacentral:ncRNA from 1 species